GCCCUCGUGGUGAAAUUGGUAGACACAAAGGACUUAAAAUCCUUGCCGCUUGCGGAGUGCCAGUUCGAGUCUGGCCGAGGGCA
rfam:Candidatus Pelagibacter sp. RS39 genome.